GGUUUCGACAUUGCUUGACACCAUUCUCUGGUUAGUAGCCCUUUAUUUAGAUCAAAUGCAUCCAUUCUUGUUGAAUUGUUUGAGUUUCUAUGCAUUUGGCUAAGAACAUGAUGAACUAGUUGAAUUUCCAUCAUGACUUAGGAGCAUUUUAGACUUCAAUCCUCCAUGUAGUGAAAGAGUUGUGUGUUUCUGUUUGUUGUAGAUGUCAGGGUCUAAAGGUUCUAGUGAUGAGGGCUUCUCUAGCUCUGGCUCUAGGUUUGAGCCGUCAAGGACUUCCUUGGAGUCUUAUGAAAAGGAAGUGUUGGGUGACUUUCAUGAUCACCAAGUGUCCCUUCCAUUAGAUGAAGAGGCGGGUGAAAAGUAUAGGUCUAGGGACAGAGCCUCAGAUAUUGUUGCAUCUACUUCCCACGUGUCGGUAGUUGAGGAGGGUGUCCUCGAUGCUAUACCUAUCUUUCACUCCGAGUUUAUGGCGGACCGCUUAGAUACGAACUUGCUAGAUAGUAGGCGUCAACUUGAGGCCUUAAGGGAGUCUUGUUGCAUACCUGAGAGCGGAGCAAUGCGCUUGGUGCACGAUGAAGAAUUGCCUACCGUAAGGAGGGUGAAGUUUCUGUUGCAUCCGUGGUUACCAAAGAUGAUUGCCCUCAUGGGGUACGUGCCUAGGCAACUCAAUCUUGGUUUAUGGGAGACUUUGAUUGGGGCUUACAUCAUCUGGAUGGAGUGUGGUCUAGGUGAACCUUCAUUCCCUCAAUGGCGGUAUUGCUAUAAGAUGCGUCUGGUCAAGUCGUCCACGGGCUAUGUUGAGUGUGUGUGUUGGAGUGAGAAAAAGAGUAUAGUCUUUGAUAAGAGAAAAUCAUAUUCUACUUGGAAAAACUGUUAGUGCUUCCUUUACAAGGGUUGGGAGCAUGAUAGAAGUACCACACCUGAGCGACACAUUUCUAUCCACUUCCAGACCGUAUUGUAAUGCAUCCAUUGUUUGCAUACUUUGUUAUUUGUUGUGAUCUUUACUUGCUUCUAACACUUUGCCUUAUGUAGUGUUGAAGGAGGCUAUCAAAUUGUUUGGACAAAAGAGGAUUGACACUUGGGCAAGCUACAACCCUUGUUUCAAAAUGGAGAAGGUGAGCAAGAAAGGGGAGACUAGAGCACCAAGAAAUGGAAGACAACCAUGGUAGUUCCCUUAUACGACGUUCUGUUUCACAAAGGGGCUCGCAAACACAGGGUGAGGCCAAUCCCCAAGCCUUAAGUCUCAAGAGGAGGUCCUUAAGAUUGUUGCCUCCAAGAAGGAUGAAGUUAGGGCCAUCGGAUGGGCUGUUGCCAAAAUUGCUGGGGAGUUGAAACGACUAAUGCCUCUUCCUCCUAACAUCGAUCCUAUAUUUCCUCUGAUCAUGGAGCAUGCUGGCUAGGAAGGUGGCCCUAACUCCAGCCUCAAAAGGAAGUAUAAGGAAGAGGCUGAUAGCAUCCCCUGGAAGGACUUGAAGGUUGCCAUGCAGCCAAAUAGCUUUAGGUACAUCAACAAUUGCCUUGCAGGGCGCUGAGCCAUUGUUGACGAGUUUGACGAGCCACUAUUUGAGAAUGAAUCGGAUCAUGACAUGAUGAUGAGGCUUCUGAUUUUGUCAUAACCAAGUAGGACGACAGACUACAAGAGGUCAAGUGAUACAAGGCGAAGUUUCAAGAGAACAAGUAGCUUAUGGAUGACACCAGGAAGGGGCGCAAUGCUUGAACUGAGGUCGUCCAGCUCAAGGACCAAACCUUAGAGAGGUUGAAGAGGCGAAAUGAUGAGAACUUACGGCUCAAAAAGCAGUUGGAGGCGACUAUCCUCAAGGCUUCCAAGGUCAGAGGGGAGUGGGAUAGUGCCCUGGUUUAGAUUUCUGAGUAGAAAAAGAGUCUCCCAACUGAGAGGGAAGCUGCCGUGCCUAAGUACUUGGGCACCCGACCUUCCGCCAUGUCAUCAGGCCUCACUGUGCUUAGGAGAUUCGGCUUGACAAAAGGAAAUGGAUGGCCAUUCUUGAGCAAUACCACGACGGAGGCAUCAUCGACAAGUACCAUGAAGAGAUGGAGGAGCAUCGACGAAAUGGUGAACCCUUUGUCCUUGAACUCGAUCCCAGUAGUGAUGAGGAGUUUGAGGAUGGUGCCAAAACCAAUGACCAGACUCAGCAGGGUGAGGAUAGACUUAGAGAUGCUGAGGAUGGCGAUGGAGGCGAGAUGUAACAUGAUGUUAUCAAGAGUUCGGCCUCAGAUGAGGAUGAUUCGUAGUGCCCUCAACUCCUACAUGCACUAGUUUGUUGUAUAUAUGCUAUGUGUUAAGUUAGGCACUUGAAGGCUUUUUGUUUAUGGAUGUUU